AAGCUAUAAUUAUUGGUUUCGCAUUCUUGGAGUGAACUAAUGGCCCGUAUUGCAGGCGUCAACAUUCCAAAC
rfam:Betaproteobacteria bacterium RIFCSPLOWO2_12_FTLL_64_23 rifcsplowo2_12_scaffold_121937, whole genome shotgun sequence.